rnacentral:rRNA from 1 species
GAUGAACGCUGGCGGCGUGCCUAAUACAUGCCAGUCGAGCGAACAGACGAGGAGCUUGCUCCUCUGACGUUAGCGGCGGACGGGUGAGUAACACGUGGAUAACCUACCUAUAAGACUGGGAUAACUUCGGGAAACCGGAGCUAAUACCGGAUAAUAUAUUGAACCGCAUGGUUCAAUAGUGAAAGACGGUUUUGCUGUCACUUAUAGAUGGAUCCGCGCCGCAUUAGCUAGUUGGUAGGGUAACGGCUUACCAAGGCAACGAUGCGUAGCCGACCUGAGAGGGUGAUCGGCCACACUGGAACUGAGACACGGUCCAGACUCCUACGGGAGGCAGCAGUAGGGAAUCUUCCGCAAUGGGCGAAAGCCUGACGGAGCAACGCCGCGUGAGUGAUGAAGGUCUUCGGAUCGUAAAACUCUGUUAUUAGGGAAGAACAAAUGUGUAAGUAACUAUGCACGUCUUGACGGUACCUAAUCAGAAAGCCACGGCUAACUACGUG